AUUGAACGCUGGCGGCAUGCCUUACACAUGCAAGUCGAACGGCAGCACGGGAGCAAUCCUGGUGGCGAGUGGCGAACGGGUGAGUAAUGUAUCGGAACGUGCCCAGUCGUGGGGGAUAACGCAGCGAAAGCUGUGCUAAUACCGCAUACGAUCUAUGGAUGAAAGCGGGGGAUCGCAAGACCUCGCGCGAGUGGAGUGGCCGAUAUCAGAUUAGCUAGUUGGUGGGGUAAAGGCUCACCAAGGCGACGAUCUGUAGCUGGUCUGAGAGGACGACCAGCCACACUGGAAUUGAGACAUGGUCCAGACUCCUACGGGAGGCAGCAGUGGGGAAUUUUGGACAAUGGGCGCAAGCCUGAUCCAGCAAUGCCGCGUGCAGGAUGAAGGCCUUCGGGUUGUAAACUGCUUUUGUACGGAGCGAAAAGGCUCUCUCUAAUACAGGGGGCUCAUGACGGUACCGUAAGAAUAAGCACCGGCUAACUACGUGCCAGCCGCCGCCGUAA
rnacentral:rRNA from 1 species